rnacentral:misc_RNA from 1 species
UGUAGGAGCCGGCUUGCUGGCGACAGCGAUGUAUCAGUCACGUCAAUGUCGAUUGAUACGCCGCUAUCGCCAGCAAGCCGGCUCCUACA